rnacentral:rRNA from 1 species
AGUUUGAUCCUGGCUCAGGACGAACGCUGGCGGCGUGCUUAACACAUGCAAGUCGAACGGAGCAUAGCAAUAUGCUUAGUGGCGGACGGGUGAGUAACACGUGAGCAACCUACCCUAUACAACGGGAUAACACAGAGAAAUCUGUGCUAAUACCGUAUAAGACCACACCUCGGCAUCGGGAGGGGUCAAAGCGAAUUAGCGGUAAAGGAGGGGCUCGCGGCCCAUUAGAUAGUUGGUGAGGUAACGGCUCACCAAGUCGACGAUGGGUAGCCGACCUGAGAGGGUGAACGGCCACAUUGGAACUGAGAACGGUCCAAACUCCUACGGGAGGCAGCAGUGGGGAAUAUUGGGCAAAUGGAGGAAACUCUGACCCAGCGACGCCGCGUGAAUGAAGAAGGCCUUCGGGUUGUAAAGUUCUUUAGUGGGGGACGAACAAAUGACGGUACCCCAAGAAUAAGCCACGACUAACUACGUGCCAGCCGCCGC